GACGAACGCUGGCGGCGUGCUUAACACAUGCAAGUCGAACGGUAAGGCCCUUUCGGGGGUACACGAGUGGCGAACGGGUUAGUAACACGUUGGUGAUCUGCCCUGCACUUUGGUAUAAGCCUGUGAAACUGGGUCUAAUACCGGAUAGGACUACGCGAUGCAUUUCGUGUGGUGGAAAGCUUUUGCGGUGUGGGAUGGGCCCGCGGCCUAUCAGCUUGGUGGUGGGGUGAUGGCCUACCAAGGCGACGACGGGUAGCCGGCCUGAGAGGGUGUCCGGCCACACUGGGACUGAGAUACGGCCCAGACUCCUACGGGAGGCAGCAGUGGGGAAUAUUGCACAAUGGGCGCAAGCCUGAUGCAGCGACGCCGCGUGGGGGAUGACGGCCUUCGGGUUGUAAACCCCUUUCAGCACAGACGAAGCGUAAGUGACGGUAUGUGCAGAAGAAGCACCGGCCAACUACGUG
rnacentral:rRNA from 1 species